AAGGGAGACCUAAUUCGGGUAUAAGACGAAAAAAUAGCAGUCGAAACCAAGAAUCAAUCCCAAAAGGUCGGAACGAGGUAUGUGGCUUUCAAACUAGGUUCUGGGUUCAUAAAAGACCUGAAUCAGGAACAAGGGCUAUUAGCUCAGGUGGUUAGAGGGCACCCCUGAUAAGGGUGAGGUCCCUGGUUCGAGUCCAGGAUGGCCCACCUGCACAGGUGGUAAAAACAAGAGAAGCGAGGAAUCAGCACCUUAUCUUACUUACAUAGUAAGAGAGAAUGCUGGCUCUGAGUAAAGAGUCCAGAGGAACCUUGAAAACUGCAUAGAGCUAGGUGAAAAAGCCAAAAAAGAAGACCGCAA
rnacentral:tRNA from 1 species